GCGCCCGUAGCUCAACCGGACAGAGCAUCGGCCUUCUAAGCCGAGGGUUGCGGGUUCGAAUCCCGCCGGGCGCGCCA
rnacentral:tRNA from 2 species